rnacentral:rRNA from 1 species
GUGCUCAAUGAUUUUUUAAAUUGCUGUAGUAAUAUAACUAUACAAAGGUAUUGAAAUAAGAUUUUAAAUGGGUGCUAAGAGAAUGGAUGAAUGUAUAUAAAUUGUUUUUUUUUAAAAAUUAAAAAUUAAUUUAAAAAUGAAAAAGUUUUUAUGUAUUAGUGGGACAAGAAGACCCUAUGAAUCUUAAUUAUUUUUAAAAUUAAAAAUUAUUUUAAAAUAAUUUAAUUGGGGCGAUUGAAAAAGAAUAUUUAUCUUUAUUUUGAAUUUAUUUUUUAAAUAUGGGAAAAGAUACUCUAGGGAUAACAGCGUUAUUAUUUUGGAUAGUUCAUAUUGAUAAAAUAGUUUGCGACCUCGAUGUUGAAUUAAUGAACCUUUU